GGGUUGUGAGGUUAAGCGACUAAGCGUACACGGUGGAUGCCUAGGCAAUCAGAGGCGAUGAAGGACGUGCUAAUCUGCGAUAAGCGUCGGUAAGGUGAUAUGAACCGUGAUAACCGACGAUUUCCGAAUGGGGAAACCCAGUGCAAUUCGUUGCACUAUCGUUUGAUGAAUACAUAGUCAAACGAAGCGAACCGGGGGAACUGAAACAUCUCAGUACCCCGAGGAAAAGAAAUCAACCGAGAUUCCCCUAGUAGCGGCGAGCGAACGGGGAGCAGCCCAGAGUCUUAAUCAGCAUUAGCAUCAGGAGAACGGUCUGGAAAGGCCGGCAGUAAAGGGUGAUAGCCCCGUAUCCGAAGGUGUUAGUGUUGUGAACUCGACGAGUAGGGCGGGACACGUGUUAUCCUGUCUGAAUAUGGGGGGACCAUCCUCCAAGGCUAAAUACUCCUGAUUGACCGAUAGUGAACCAGUACCGUGAGGGAAAGGCGAAAAGAACCCCGGCGAGGGGAGUGAAAUAGAACCUGAAACCGUGUACGUACAAGCAGUGGGAGCCCCACCACCAAAGCAUUUUCUGGUGUUGAGGACAACUUUGAAGUGACAUUCAACACGCGUUGGCGGAGCGUUUUUUGCGACGCCCAACACACAAAACAAGCAGUGAAUGUGCUUUGGGGUGGGGUGACUGCGUACCUUUUGUAUAAUGGGUCAGCGACUUAUAUUCUGUAGCAAGGUUAACCGUAUAGGGGAGCCGUAGGGAAACCGAGUCUUAACUGGGCGAAUGAGUUGCAGGGUAUAGACCCGAAACCCGGUGAUCUAGCCAUGGGCAGGUUGAAGGUUGGGUAACACUAACUGGAGGACCGAACCGACUAAUGUUGAAAAAUUAGCGGAUGACUUGUGGCUGGGGGUGAAAGGCCAAUCAAACCGGGAGAUAGCUGGUUCUCCCCGAAAGCUAUUUAGGUAGCGCCUCGUGAACUCAUCUUCGGGGGUAGAGCACUGUUUCGACUAGGGGGUCAUCCCGACUUACCAACUCGAUGCAAACUACGAAUACCGAAGAAUGUUAUCACGGGAGACACACGGCGGGUGCUAACGUUCGUCGUGAAGAGGGAAACAACCCAGACCGCCAGCUAAGGUCCCAAAGUCAUAGUUAAGUGGGAAACGAAGUGGGAAGGCUCAGACAGCCAGGAUGUUGGCUUAGAAGCAGCCAUCAUUUAAAGAAAGCGUAAUAGCUCACUGGUCGAGUCGGCCUGCGCGGAAGAUGUAACGGGGCUAAACUAUGCACCGAAGCUGCGGCAGCGAUAUGUAAAUAUUGUUGGGUAGGGGAGCGUUCUGUAAGCCUGUGAAGGUGUACUGCGAGGUAUGCUGGAGGUAUCAGAAGUGCGAAUGCUGACAUAAGUAACGAUAAUGCGGGUGAAAAACCCGCACGCCGGAAGACCAAGGGUUCCUGUCCAACGUUAAUCGGGGCAGGGUGAGUCGACCCCUAAGGCGAGGCAGAAAUGCGUAGUCGAUGGGAAACGGGUUAAUAUUCCCGUACUGGUGAUAAUUGCGAUGGGGGGACGGAGAAGGCUAGGCUAUCCGGGCGACGGUUGUCCCGGUUUAAGGAUGUAGGCAGGUGAAUUAGGCAAAUCCGGUUCACUAUAUGCUGAGGUCCGACGACGAGUCACUACGGUGAUGAAGUAGCUCAUGCCCCGCUUCCAGGAAAAGCCUCUAAGCUCUAGAUUAUCAUUAAUCGUACCCCAAACCGACACAGGUGGUCAGGUAGAGAAUACUCAGGCGCUUGAGAGAACUCGGGUGAAGGAACUAGGCAAAAUGGUGCCGUAACUUCGGGAGAAGGCACGCUGGCGCUAGGUGAAGUCCCUCGCGGAUGGAGCUGAAGCCAGUCGCAGAUACCAGCUGGCUGCAACUGUUUAUUAAAAACACAGCACUGUGCAAACACGAAAGUGGACGUAUACGGUGUGACGCCUGCCCGGUGCUGGAAGGUUAAUUGAUGGGGUUAUCCGUAAGGAGAAGCUCUUGAUCGAAGCCCCAGUAAACGGCGGCCGUAACUAUAACGGUCCUAAGGUAGCGAAAUUCCUUGUCGGGUAAGUUCCGACCUGCACGAAUGGCGUAAUGAUGGCCAGGCUGUCUCCACCCGAGACUCAGUGAAAUUGAACUCGCUGUGAAGAUGCAGUGUACCCGCGGCAAGACGGAAAGACCCCGUGAACCUUUACUAUAGCUUGACACUGAACAUUGAGCCUUGAUGUGUAGGAUAGGUGGGAGGCUUUGAAGUGUGGACGCCAGUCUGCAUGGAGCCAACCUUGAAAUACCACCCUUUAAUGUUUGAUGUUCUAACGUAGCCCCGUUAUCCGGGGUGCGGACAGUGUCUGGUGGGUAGUUUGACUGGGGCGGUCUCCUCCCAAAGAGUAACGGAGGAGCACGAAGGUUGGCUAAGCAUGGUCGGACAUCAUGCGGUUAGUGCAAAGGCAUAAGCCAGCUUGACUGCGAGAGUGACGGCUCGAGCAGGUACGAAAGUAGGUCUUAGUGAUCCGGUGGUUCUGAAUGGAAGGGCCAUCGCUCAACGGAUAAAAGGUACUCCGGGGAUAACAGGCUGAUACCGCCCAAGAGUUCAUAUCGACGGCGGUGUUUGGCACCUCGAUGUCGGCUCAUCACAUCCUGGGGCUGAAGUAGGUCCCAAGGGUACGGCUGUUCGCCGUUUAAAGUGGUACGCGAGCUGGGUUUAGAACGUCGUGAGACAGUUCGGUCCCUAUCUGCCGUGGGCGUUGGAAGAUUGAAAGGGGCUGCUCCUAGUACGAGAGGACCGGAGUGGACGCACCACUGGUGUUCGGGUUGUCAUGCCAAUGGCAUUGCCCGGUAGCUAAGUGCGGAAGAGAUAACCGCUGAAAGCAUCUAAGCGGGAAACUUGCCUUGAGAUGAGUCUUCCCUGACUCUUUAAGGGUCCUAAAGGAACGUUUAAGACUAAGACGUUGAUAGGUUGGGUGUGUAAGCGUAGCGAUACGUUGAGCUAACCAAUACUAAUGAACCGUGAGGCUUAACCUGACAACACCGAAGGUGUUUUAG
rnacentral:rRNA from 1 species